rnacentral:rRNA from 1 species
GAUGAACGCUGGCGGCGUGCUUAACACAUGCAAGUCGAACGGUGAAGCUCCAGCUUGCUGGAGUGGAUCAGUGGCGAACGGGUGAGUAACACGUGAGCAACCUGCCCCUGACUCUGGGAUAACAGCCGGAAACGGCUGCUAAUACCGGAUAUGCACCAUGAACGCAUGUUCUGUGGUGGGAAAGAUUUUUCGGGUGGGGAUGGGCUCGCGGCCUAUCAGCUUGUUGGUGAGGUAAUGGCUCACCAAGGCGUCGACGGGUAGCCGGCCUGAGAGGGUGACCGGCCACACUGGGACUGAGACACGGCCCAGACUCCUACGGGAGGCAGCAGUGGGGAAUAUUGCACAAUGGGCGAAAGCCUGAUGCAGCAACGCCGCGUGAGGGAUGACGGCCUUCGGGUUGUAAACCUCUUUUAGCAGGGAAGAAGCGAGAGUGACGGUACCUGCAGAAAAAGCGCCGGCUAACUACGUG